rnacentral:rRNA from 1 species
CUGCUGCCUUCCGUAGGAGUCUGGGCCGUGUCUCAGUCCCAAUGUGGCCGGCCAACCUCUCAGUCCGGCUACUGAUCGUCGACUUGGUGGGCCGUUACCCCGCCAACUAUCUAAUCAGACGCGAGGCCAUCUCAGAGCGAUAAAUCUUUGGCAGUCAGAGUCAUGCGACCCAACUGCUUUAUGCGGUAUUAGCAGCUAUUUCUAGCUGUUAUUCCCCACUCCAAGGCAGGUUCCUCACG